AGCAGCCACCUUUUGAAACGCGUCAAAGCGUAACUUUAACACCCAAAAUACCAUUAAUUUUUAUGAACCCCUAAUCUAUAAUGAAUGACUCCAUAUUUAUAUGGAAGACACCAUGCUAGGAUUAGUAACAAGAAUUUAUAAUUCUCCAAAAUGCAAAUAUAAACCAACAUGGAUAGACCAUUGGUAGUUACCGAACCUAAAUUUAAUGCAAUAACAUCCACAAGAAAACUCUGCAGCACUCACUCGUUAACCUAACACCAGCGCAUUACAGGAAAGAUUCAAAAAAAGAGAAGGAAUUCGGCAAAUGACGGCCCCGCCUGUUUACCAAAAACAUCGCCUCUUGACUUAUAAUAAGAGGUCUAGCCUGCCCAGUGAAUUUUAAACGGCCGCGGUAUCCUAACCGCGCGAAGGUAGCAUAAUCACUUGUUCUUUAAAUGGGGACUCGUAUCAACGGCAUCACGAGGGUUUUACUGUCUCCUCUUUUUGAUCAGUGAAAUUGAUCUUCCCGUGAAGAAGCGGGAAUAUUUUUAUAAGACGAGAAGACCCCAUGGAGCUUUAAACCAAAUAACAACUUAACCACUUAUCCCAUAAUAAAUUUAACCCCUGUUAUAAGGUUUUUGGUUGGGGUGACCGCGGAGUAAAGCACAUCCUCCACGACGGAAAGAAUAAAAUCUUUAUUUAAGAACCACACUUCUAGAAAUUAGUAUACUAACGUUUACUGACCCGACAAUCGAUCAACGGACCAAGUUACCCUGGGGAUAACAGCGCAAUCUACUUCGAGAGCUCAUAUCGACAAGUAGGCUUACGACCUCGAUGUUGGAUCAGGGUAUCCCGGUGGUGCAGCCGCUACCGAAGGUUCGUUUGUUCAACGAUUAAAACCCUACGUGAUCUG
rnacentral:rRNA from 1 species